CCCAGGUUUCUUCAUCUUGGUCUUGCCACAGAGGAGCAAGUGAAGUUGGUGUGCCAGCUGAUUUCAGUUUUCUUCGCUAUUUUCUGUAGGGAGGCACCAUAGCAGGUCCCUAUUUCCCAAUGAUUCCCAACCUUCUUUGGUGCGUUUAGCCAUGUUGCCAGAACCUACAGCCAAGCCCAGAGAGGGGUGUUGCAAAUCUUUAAUCCCAGCACAUGGAAAACAGAAGCAAGAUGAUCUUUGUGAGGCCAGCCCAGUCUACGUAUCAAGUCCUAGGACAGCUUAGACUACAAAAAACACAUGCUACAUUAUGUCACUCAGAAUUUAAAACUAUAUUUAUCUUGGUUGGUGGUGGUGGCAUACGCUUUUAAUCCCAGCACUUGGAUGGCAGUCAGGCAGAUCUCUGAGUUUGAGGCUACCCUGGUCUACUGAGUAAGUUCCAGGACAGUCAGGGCUACACAGAGACACCCAGUCUUGAAAAAACCAAAACCAACAAAAACUAUAUGGACCUUUAAAAACUCAACAAAAUCAAGCUUGUACUUUCCUGGCUCAUCUCAUUUUUCCUUCUACCCCUUCUUCCUCGGCUCCAUGUGUGAUCAUGGCCCACACAUGGGUGUGUAGAAGGUGCACCUGAAAGGAAGUCGGGGAGAGCAUCAAGUGUUCUAGCAAUCACCUUAUUCCCUUGAGGCAGUCUCUUCAGGAUUUGCAACAAUCCCAGAGUCUCUGGUUUCUGCCCAGCAAAGCAUUGGGAUUAUAGAUAAUAUGCAGUGCCCAGGAGGCAGUCAAAGUAAUCAACACAGGACCAAGACAACCAAUGUUCGAGGACAAGGAGCAUGGACAGAACAGGAAAGGCUAGAACUACACGGUGUUUCAGAAGACAAUUCCAAAUGUAAAAGUAUGUGCUACCUUUUGCCAGAAAUCCAUAGAAAACCUCAUGUACCAAAUGUCACAUUGGCUGUAAUCAAAUCGCCCAAGAAUAGUCACAUUAGACUCACUAGGUUUAAUUUUAUCUAUAUCAUCCUCCAUUUUGCCAGGUUUCCAGCAUACAAUGGCAUUUUCACAAGACUAAAAGAGAGAGAAAUAAGAGACAUGUAUUAGAACUGAAUUUCAAAAAUAAAAAUCAAACUGUU